UCCUUCAUUCCACCGGAUCCU
rnacentral:miRNA from 2 species